rnacentral:rRNA from 1 species
GACGAACGCUGGCGGCGUGCUUAACACAUGCAAGUCGAACGGAAAGGCCCUGCUUGCAGGGUACUCGAGUGGCGAACGGGUGAGUAACACGUGGGUGAUCUGCCCUGCACUUCGGGAUAAGCCUGGGAAACUGGGUCUAAUACCGGAUAGGAGCCAUUUUUAGUGUGAUGGUUGGAAAGUUUUUUCGGUGUAGGAUGAGCUCGCGGCCUAUCAGCUUGUUGGUGGGGUAAUGGCCUACCAAGGCGGCGACGGGGAGCCGGCCUGAGAGGGUGGACGGCCACAUUGAGACUGGGAUACGGCCCAGACUCCUACGGGAGGCAGCAGUGGGGAAUAUUGCACAAGGGGCGCAAGCCUGAUGCAGCGACGCCGCGUGGGGGAUGACGGCCUUCGGGUUGUAAACGCCUUUCGCUAGGGACGAAGCUUUUUGUGACGGUACCUAGAUAAGAAGCACCGGCUAACUACGUG